GGGCCUUUAGCUCAGUUGGUUAGAGCAGCCGGCUCAUAACCGGUCGGUCCACGGUUCGAGCCCGUGAAGGCCCACCA
rnacentral:tRNA from 11 species